UACGUAGGGUGCAAGCGUUGUCCGGAAUUAUUGGGCGUAAAGAGCUCGUAGGCGGUCUGUCGCGUCGGCUGUGAAAACUCGGGGCUUAACUCCGGGUCUGCAUUCGAUACGGGUCUGCUGGGGUCCGGCAGGGGAGACUGGAAUUCCUGGUGUAGCGGUGAAAUGCGCAGAUAUCAGGAGGAACACCGGUGGCGAAGGCGGGUCUCUGGGCCGGUACCGACGCUGAGGAGCGAAAGCGUGGGGAGCGAACAGG
rnacentral:rRNA from 1 species